CCUACGGGAGGCAGCAGUAGGGAAUUUUCGGCAAUGGGGGAAACCCUGACCGAGCAACGCCGCGUGAAUGACGAAGUACUUCGGUAUGUAAAGUUCUUUUAUUAGGGAAGAAUGGCAGGUGGAAAAACCUGAUUGACGGUACCUAAUGAAUAAGCCCCGGCUAACUAUGUGCCAGCAGCCGCGGUAAUACAUAGGGGGCAAGCGUUAUCCGGAAUUAUUGGGCGUAAAGGGUGCGUAGGUGGUUAUUUAAGUCUUUGGUGUAAGUGCAGUGCUUAACGCUGUGAUGCUAAAGAAACUGGGUAACUUGAGUGUGGUAGAGGCAAGUGGAAUUCCAUGUGUAGCGGUAAAAUGCGUAAAUAUAUGGAGGAACACCAGUGGCGAAGGCGGCUUGCUGGGCCACAACUGACACUGAGGCACGAAAGCGUGGGGAGCAAACAGG
rnacentral:rRNA from 1 species